CACGUAGGCGGCCUGGUAAGUCAGAUGUGAAAGCCCGGGGCUUAACCCCGGAAGUGCAUUUGAUACUGUCAGGCUUGAGUAUGGGAGGGGGAAGUGGAAUUCCUGGUGUAGAGGUGAAAUUCGUAGAUAUCAGGAGGAACACCGGUGGCGAAGGCGACUUCCUGGACCAAUACUGACGCUGAGGUGCGAAGGCGUGGGUAGCAAACA
rnacentral:rRNA from 1 species